rnacentral:lncRNA from 1 species
AGAGGUUUGGGGCGGGCAGUCUGCAUUUUUUUCAAGCUCUCAUUAUGCUGCACCAGUAUCUCCAGAUGCUGUUUCCAGGGAACUAAGCUGCUUUCUAAUUAAAACUGCAAAGAGCAAUGGAGAGUUUAGGCAAAGACCAUGCUUCUUCGGACUCUUCCCUGCCACCCUCUGCAACCUGUGAGGAGUAUGCUGUGCCAGACGUCAUCAUAACCCGUCGCUUGAGAGACCGGGAGUUGCUCAGGAAAAGAAAAGCAGAAGCCCUGGAGAAAGAUUCAGCUCAGUGGGUUAUGAGAGACUAUAAGAACGAACAGCAAAGGAGAGCCAGAAGAGCCAAAAGAGGACGGGGCCGUCAGACAGUGGUCAAGGCUGUCCUGGAGUCAGAGCCAGCAGGGGACCCCCAGCCCGACCCAGAGGAGAAGGCUGAGCCAGCGCCCUGGGAGCCAGAGCCCUCGGAGCCAGCGCUGCCUGAAGCAGGCUUUCAACAGCAGCCACCAAUGCUGCCCAUCCAGAACAUGGUCGGUGGGCUGCCGGCGGGGGCAGUGGAAGGGGAGCUGGCAGACAGGAGCUUGGACCCUACUGGUGAAGAGGAUAUGCCGAAACCAGAAGAAGCAGAUCUAUUAAAAGAGUUCAAUACUCUGGAAAAUGACCACCAGGAUAACGAAUACAUUCCGCAUAUUCUGUAUUAACUUUCUGAUUGUUUGGGGAUAUUUUUUAUUUUUACUCUCACCUCACAAACUUGACAAGUAUGGCACAGUGAUUUUGAGCAGCUGCUUUCUUGGGAACCAUAAAGCCCAUACUCUCCUUGUCACUCUGCUUUCUAUGCUUCUUCCAGGCUAGAGAGGCAGCCCCUAGGGAGUUGCCUGUGGCUUAUGAGCCUCCUGCUCUCUCUGCAAACAGGCUGUUUUGCUUGGGCCCAUGGAAGGACUCACAGUGCUCUGCCACACUACACUUCAGUCAUACAGUCCAGCAUCCACCUGUGUUUCUGACAGUAAUUUCUUAUUUGCAUAAAUGUGAGUGGCAUUGCAAAGCUAACACUCACUGUGAUUUUAGCUGGCUGGAGAAGCCCAGCUUGAGCUUUUUACUGCACCCCACAAACCCCACCACAUUUUGUGCUAUCAUUAUUAGUCUGAAAGUUUUUCUCAUAGCCUGUUUUCAUCUGCAAUAAACAUCUUGCUUUCCUACA